rnacentral:tRNA from 1 species
GGUUUUAUAGUUUAAAAAGAAUAUUAAGUUGCAAGCUUAAAGGUAUUAUAAAAUUAAGACUU